rnacentral:tRNA from 1 species
AAAGGAAGCAUCAAACUCUUAAUUUGAAACAAAGUGGAACUCCGCCACUAUCAAGGA